CUAAUUGACUUUUAUUUUGCAAAAAUUGGGAGAUAUCUUCUCUCUUGCGCUUGAGCUUUACUUCAUGAAUUCUCUAUGACGCCUCGCCGUCGUUCGCUUCAUGACGGCGCCGUGUCACUCGUGCGUCGGUCUCGCCUCCUCCUCCCUCCGGUUUCCACCUUGCCGCUUAGUCCAGCACGCAACAGAUGCAUCGCCACAACUUGCAGCAGACAGCAGUAAACCAACAUCGCAUCUGCGCCGCCAAGCCCGUGAUCGCACCGCCCCCCAUCCCCAUUACUCUCAAUCUCAACUAUGUGCCGUCUUAUAGCCUCAGACGCAUCGCUCCUUCGGCUACCUAGUUGCAAUAUUGUAGAUGCGUAUGAUCCAUUGGAUCCCAAUGGGAACAUCACCAUUAGAUGGGAUGUUUAGCAAGAAAACGACGAUUCUUCAAAAGAUGCGACAUUGCUAAGGGGCGAAGCUCAUUAAAGAGUGACCACAUCCCGACCAUUGUAGAGCUUCAACGUUGAAUCUGCAUGAUAUUCAAUGUUAGAAUACAUAUGUAUUACAAUUGUGCUGCAGAUGUAUUACAAUUGGAUAUGGAUAUGGAUUGGGAGUAUUUGAAGAGAUGGUUGCAUUACUUUUUAUUGGGGAGAGCAAGAGACGCAUAGGGUUUCUGAAAAUUUUAAACAUUUUUUGGGUUGGGCUGGCACUUUUGCGGCUGACUUGUUUUUGCUUUUGUUUAUUUGAUUUAUUACUUUUUGUAGUGUGAGUGUAUUUAAAUUUCGGCUAACUUGGAUAUAGUUUUGCUGCAAUAAAUAAGUCUUCACUACAUGAUUUAGUACCAA